rnacentral:rRNA from 1 species
AAUCAACGCUGGCGGCGUGCCUAACACAUGCAAGUCGAACGCGAAAGCCCCUUCGGGGGUAAGUAGAGUGGCGUCCGGGUGAGUAACACGUGGGUAAUCUACCUUCGGGUGGGGAAUAACUCAGGGAAACUUGAGCUAAUACCGCAUAAUGCAGCGGCACCUAAUGGUGAUUAGUUGUUAAAGCGGGGGAUCGCAAGACCUCGCGCCUGAAGAGGAGCCUGCGGCAGAUUAGCUAGNGGUGAGGUAAUGGCUCACCAAGGCUUCGAUCUGUAGCUGGUCUGAGAGGACGGCCAGCCACACUGGCACUGACACACGGCCAGACUCCUACGGGAGGCAGCAGUGGGAAUUUUGGGCAAUGGGCGAAAGCCUGACCCAGCAACGCCGCGUGAGGGAGGAAAUCCG